rnacentral:rRNA from 1 species
GAUGAACGCUGGCGGCGUGCUUAACACAUGCAAGUCAAACGGGAAGGCUCUGCUUUUGUGGGGUGCUCGAGUGGCGAACGGGUGAGUAACACGGGAGUAACCUGCCCUUGAAUUUGGGAUAACUUCAGGAAACUGGGGCUAAUACCGGAUAGGAGCUCAUGCUGCAUGGUGGGGGUUGGAAAGUUUCGGCGGUUGAGGAUGGACUCGCGGCUUAUCAGCUUGUUGGUGGGGAAGUGGCUUACCAAGGCUUUGACGGGUAGCCGGCCUGAGAGUGUGACCGGCCACAUUGGGACUGAGAUACGGCCCAGACUCCUACGGGAGGCAGCAGUGGGGAAUAUUGCACAAUGGGCGGAAGCCUGAUGCAGCAACGCCGCGUGCGGGAUGACGGCCUUCGGGUUGUAAACCGCUUUCGCCUGUGACGAAGCGUGAGUGACGGUAAUGGGUAAGGAAGCACCGGCUAACUACGUG